UCCAAAGUGGGUGGUAAACUCCAUCCAAGGCUAAAUACUGGCACGAGUCCGAUAGUAGACAAGUACCGUGAGGGAAAGUUGAAAAGUACUCUGAAGAGAGAGUAAAUAGCACGUGAAGCCGCUUGCAGGGAAGCUGGUGGAGUCAAGCUUCAUGUUCAGAGGAUUGCCAUCAGGACUACCAUUGUUGUUUGGGACGUGAUACUGAUUAGCCUGGAAAGGGUUUGGCGUGCUUCGGUGCGUUUCAAGUCAUUCUGGGUAGAGUGUUUGAGUCAGUGUCUAUCUCCCUGGUCCUGGUGUUUUAUCCUCUGUGACAUACAUCACAGUCAAUAAUGGUUCGUGCUGUGUGAACGCUUAACUGUGCUUUGGCGGGCAUUCGUGUCUGCCGGGUGCGGAAUGGCAGGUGGCUUGUGCGGGCCUUGUGUUCGUAUCUUGCUUAUGUUGAUUUUGAUCUGCUAGUGUUCAUGUUUCACAUUUAACAGUAUCGGCCUUAUUGCUCG
rnacentral:rRNA from 1 species